rnacentral:rRNA from 1 species
CCUACGGGUGUGCUGCAGUGGGGAAUAUUGGACAAUGGGCGAAAGCCUGAUCCAGCCAUGCCGCGUGUGUGAAGAAGGCCUUCGGGUUGUAAAGCACUUUCAGUGGGGAAGAAAGCCUUGGGGCUAAUACCCUCGAGGAAGGACAUCACCCACAGAAGAAGCACCGGCUAACUCCGUGCCAGCAGCCGCGGUAAUACGGAGGGUGCGAGCGUUAAUCGGAAUUACUGGGCGUAAAGCGCGCGUAGGCGGUCUGAUAAGCCGGUUGUGAAAGCCCCGGGCUCAACCUGGGAACGGCAUCCGGAACUGUCAGGCUAGAGUGCAGGAGAGGAAGGUAGAAUUCCCGGUGUAGCGGUGAAAUGCGUAGAGAUCGGGAGGAAUACCAGUGGCGAAGGCGGCCUUCUGGACUGACACUGACGCUGAGGUGCGAAAGCGUGGGUAGCAAACAGGAUUAGAUACCCCGGUAGUC